rnacentral:rRNA from 1 species
UACGAGGGGGGCGAGCGUUGUUCGGAAUUAUUGGGCGUAAAGGGUGCGUAGGCGGUUUGGUAAGUCUSAUGUGAAAUCUAUGGGCUCAACUCAUAGWCUGCAUSRGAAACUGCCGGGCUYGAGURUGGGAGAGGUGAGUGGAAUUCCYGGUGUAGCGGUGAAAUGCGUAGAUAUCRGGAGGAACACCUGUGGCGAAAGCGGCUCACUGGACCAYAACUGACGCUGAUGCACGAAAGCUAGGGGAGCAAACAGGAUUAGAUACCCUGGUAGUCCUAGCCCUAAACSAUGAYUGCUUGGUGUGACGGGUACCCAAUCCCGCCGUGCCGUAGCUAACGCGUUAAGCARUCCGCCUGGGGAGUACGGUCGCAAGGCUGAAACUCAAAG